UACGAAGGGGGCGAGCGUUGUUCGGAUUUACUGGGCGUAAAGGGCGCGCAGGCGGCUGCUCAAGUCAGGCGUGAAAGGCCUGGGCUCAACCCGGGAAUUGCGCUUGAGACUGGACUGGCUUGAGUGCGGGAGAGGAUGGUGGAAUUCCCAGUGUAGAGGUGAAAUUCGUAGAUAUUGGGAAGAACACCGGUGGCGAAGGCGGCCGAUC
rnacentral:rRNA from 1 species